GACGAACGCUGGCGGCGUGCUUAACACAUGCAAGUCGAACGGAAAGGCCCUGCUUUUGUGGGGUGCUCGAGUGGCGAACGGGUGCGUAACACGUGAGUAACCUGCCCUUGACUUUGGGAUAACUUCAGGAAACUGGGGCUAAUACCGUAUAGGAGCUCCUGCUGCAUGGUGGGGGUUGGAAAGUUUCGGCGGUUGGGGAUGGACUCGCGGCUUAUCAGCUUGUUGGUGGGGUAGUGGCUUACCAAGGCUUUGACGGGUAGCCGGCCUGAGAGGGUGACCGGCCACAUUGGGACUGAGAGACGGCCCAGACUCCUACGGGAGGCAGCAGUGGGGAAUAUUGCACAAUGGGCGGAAGCCUGAUGCAGCAACGCCGCGUGCGGGAUGACGGCCUUCGGGUUGUAAACCGCUUUCGCCUGUGACGAAGCGUGAGUGACGGUAAUGGGUAAAGAAGCACCGGCUAACUACGUG
rnacentral:rRNA from 1 species